rnacentral:lncRNA from 1 species
GUUUUUCAUUGCCAAAACCCAGCGUCAGUGGCUACAUCAAAUGAAGCUGAUUGAGGCUGGUGAAGUGUGCUUGGCUUGCAUUUUAAUAGGAAUAUUCAACCUACAGAUGGGCUUGGAGAGAGGUCGCCUAAGUUCAAGUGAGAAUUUUCAAUGCAGAUUCGUAGAUUUUUGAAGGCCAGAUGGCACCACUAGGAUCAUCUUGUCUGAUCUCCUGCAGAACACAGGCCCUGGAAUUGCACCCAUUCAUUCCCACCUCAAGCACGACGUUUUCCCUGCAGAUGUUUGACUUCUCCUCUGUCAGGCCCAAAUUUGAGCUGACCUCACAUUGAUAUCAGUGCUGUUAAUAACCCAAAUUACUGGAACAUUAAAGGGAAAAGCUUGCAAGGUGUCCCUUGGAAUCUUGCUGGCUCGGUUGCAAUUCCUUUUUAAUUAUUUGUUGUAAGAUGGAUAGAGCUGUAUGGUUGUUUUCAGGAGUGUUUAGUAAGAGCUCCAGAGGGAGGAUCUGACAGCCUUGCUCUGUGAUGGAUUGGAGAGUCAGAUCAGCAUAUGGUGAAAAGAGGGAAAAGGCAAGAGGGAAAGCCAAACCAGAGCUCUUUUUUGAAACACCCUGGAAACUGGGUUGGUGACUAAAUAAAGCUUUCUCGCCACCAAAAGUACAGCAACAACAGCAAAAAAUUUGAUCUGAAAAUAAAUCCUUUUUUUUUUUUUCUUUUUUUUUUUUAGAAAAUCAUCACAUCUUCCUUGUUCACUUUGGGUGAUUGUUAUUUUUCCCAGCAGGAUUUCUCACUUUCCUGGAGAAACAAUGAAUCUGUGAAACUUUUUCAAAAAAAACCAAAACCUAAACCCAUUUUUGUUGCUUCUCAGCUAAAUCCCAGCAUUGCUGUGUCAGCCAGCCAGGACAAACAUUGUACCAGGGAAAGCAUUGGACUGUGUGCUCAGAGCUGUGGAAGGAGCUGGCAAAACCCAGACCUGCAGCUUCAGCCUAAGAGGGACCCAGCCAAAUCCUGUUGUGGUCAUGCCUCCUAUCCCAGUGUCCUCUCUCCAGAAUCCUGGAAUUGUUCAGGUUGGAAAAGCCCUCUGAGAUCAUUGAGUCCAGCCUGUCACCAGUGUCCACCUUGUCCCCAGCCCAGAGCCCUGAGUGCCACAUCCAGGCCCUCCACGGACACCUCCAGGGGUGGGGACUCCAUCACCUCCUUGGGAAUCCCAUUCCAAUGCCUGACCACCUUUUCUUUCCAUGGAGAAAUUCCUCCUGGGGUGUGUAUGAACAUGUGGAUUGUGAGCUGCCUUUGUUUUCUCCUAACUUCCAGGGGACAAGUGCUAAAAGCAACAGAUAAAUAACUGCACACAGCUCCACAAACCACAUCCUCAAACGUAGAACAUGUUGAGGACGUAAUUUGGGACAGUGUGGGAAGGGACAGAUUCUCGGUGGAGAUCUUCAGAGACAAGCAACAAACCUUUCCUGACUGUGGCCAGGAACACCUCAGUGUUCCUCCCUUUCAUCCAGGUCAAAACGACUUUAAUUUGCAAUUCACUGAAUCAUCUGCAGGGUCUGGGAGCAGUCUGUGUGCAGGAGGGACGUGCCAUGGGAGGGAGGAAGAAAAUCCUGGGUGUUAUUGCGCAGUGUUUACAGCUCCUGACAGGAUGGCUUUUAGGAAUGAAGGUUUCGACGUGGCUCAGCACACGCACGCUGUAAUUUGUCUGUCAGCUCUCCGAAAGUUCAUUGGCAUUGUCAAGUCGUGUUUAACUCAGUGGGGAAAUAUGGAUUCCAUCCCUGGUGAUUUCAUGGAGCACUUUGAUAGCCUGGAGGUUUCCCAUUAGAACCACGACCUCCCUUCUCCUCCCCACCUCCUCGGGAAUUACUGCACCUCUUCGUAGGACUUCAGCAUGCAAAACACCCAAAAUGAGUCAGGAAUGAUUCUUUCAAACUGUGGGUCCUGCCUGAGAGGAUUAAAUGUCUGAUUGUGCAGGAACACCUGCAGGUCUGGAACCUCUCUGGAGGUGAGCAGGGGUUCAUAAAACCAAAAGAAGGGCAUGGACAAAAAUCAGGGUUUACCUUGGUAGGAGAUGGGAUGUGCCAAAUAUAACGGAGAACUCCACUUGCUGUGCUGGGGCAUGUCCAGAGAAGUAUGACAGGGAUAUUCUGGCACUUUUCUUCCCCUUUUCAUUUUUAAAGAAGAAUAGGAAACUCUUUGCAGCACUGCACCUGCUGGGCUUGGCCCAAUAUCAACAGAAAAUCUCCAGAUCCAUUGAGGAGCCCAGGCCAGAGGUGCCUCUGCCUCUCCACUGCUAUUGCAGGCUUCAGACGGAGACCAAUAAACCUUCUGCAGCUAGAGAACA